GAGGACACUCAGCACAGCUCCCCGCUCACUCCCGCCGCUCUCUUCCCUCCGCCUCAGCUCGCGGCACAGCGGGACGGCACCGCCGCCCUCAGCGCGGACCGCCCGGGGCCCCUCCCGUGGGCUCGGGCUCUUUUCCCCGCUCGGCCCUUUCCCGCUGCCCCCCGGCAUUACCUCUCUGAGACUGCCGUUCUUCGUCUCCUUCGCGCGCCGUCGCCUCUCGGGGCGGGGAAGGGCUCCGCCAUCUUUUUCCAUAGCACCGUGGAGGUGCGGGGCUGCGCCCAUCGUGUGCGGGGAGAGGGGCAGAGAAGGGCCGGGCUGAGGGCACAGCGGUGCCGGCGGAGCGCUCUUCAUAGCGAGGACCUCACGGAGGGGUCGUGGCGGAAAGAUGAAAAACAGCGCCACGCCGCAGUGGGCACCUCUGAAAGCGCUCAGUCGCAGUCGGAAAGCCGUCUGGGAACGCUGCCCACAGUUCUCGCAGUAAUGACUCAGUCGGGAGGAGGGGCGGAAAUGGGGGAGGUUCCGCAGUACUGUUCCUGUUUGUCUUUGGUCUGUGGAAGAGCGGGCAAGCUGCCCAGGAUGACUGCGGGUUGUAAGAGACUAUUCUUUUAUAUCAUUUGACUCAAAGUUUGCCGAGGAGCAAGUCCAGGCAAGUCCUGGGCAAAGGUAGAGAAAUCUUCCUUCUGGAGGACACUGAUGGACGGGUCCUGGCUGAGGGUUGUGAAAUCCUCCAAGGAGCACAGAUGGACACGGCCAGGGGCAGCGAGAGAGAGAUGAGCUGCUGAUAACGGCCGGGAAACGGUCUUUGUGUGUGGGCUUACCUCGAGGAAGAUGGCCAUCUCAGGAGGUACGCACAGGGCUCUUGCUCAAGCACCCAGGGGUGUCAGUAGGCAGCAGAAAAUGGAGGAUAAAAGAGGGGCCAACAACCCCGACAGAUUGGGAGGGGUUUUCUGCCAUCCGAUCCCUCACCACGACGGACUGAGAGGGUUUUCUGCCAUCAGAUCCCUCACCACGACGGACUGAGAGGGAUUUUCUGCCAUCCGAUCCCUCACCACGACAGACCAGUGAAGGGUUUCUGCCAUCAGAUCUCCCUGUUCCUGCUGGCCAUUAUUUCUGAUACAAGCCAGGUUGCCGUUGGCCUUCUUGGCCACCUGGGCACACUGCUGGCUCAUGUUCAGUCUGGCAUCAAUCAACACCCCCAGGUCCAUUUCCUCUACACAGAACUUGAUGUUCUUUCUCGAGGUGUAUCUUUUCCAAGGACCAGUAGCGCUUCUGAUUCAUGCUCUCCGGUUCCCCAGAGUUCAGCACAGUGCGUCACAGGGUGUCGUGCUGUUUCCUCAUAGGCACGUUGGAGUGACGUUGCUCCUGCCGGCCAUCCUUUGGACUUAAAACCUCAAGGGGAGUAAAACAGACGUUUUAUAGGUACGAGGAGGGGUAGGUCUGCCCUCCACGGUAAGAUGCAGGCUGUGUUUCGGUCUUGAGUCAACACCUCUGCCUGUAUCGGGGCACGUCCUGGCCUUCGAUACCACACUCUUUGGCCCGAAAUCUGCGACUGAAUCACUAUGUCGGGUAUCAAAAGGGGAGGUUCUAGUUUGCCACAUGGCCAUGAUUAAUGUCCCCUUUGCAAUGAAAACAGGGGUGUCGACUACUACCUCUGUUGGCCGUACACCCAUUACUGAAGGGUUUACUGAUCCCCCAACCUCUAACAAUCUCCUCCAAGGUGCAAGGAGACCACACCAUUUUAGUCCUGCUUGCACCUUCCAAGGCCAUUUUACCUUGUGUCUCCCGGGCUCCAGGUCAUCAGGGGCAGGGAGCAGAAGAUUAUCCAUGGUGCCAACUUGUGGCUUGAGUGAGGUGUCCUUGCUUGCGAUUUGUAUCCUAAGUGGGGAGGCCCAAGUUGGCUGCAACGUCCUUAAAGCACUGGGUCUGCCAUCUCUUGGUCUCUCAUUCAAGUCUCGCAGGGUUUCAUAAAGCCUUUUGGUCCAGCCCUGCAAGGACUGUGAAUCUGCCUUCCGAGCAGCCUUCAGGAUCCCAUUGUAUCUUUCUAUUAGGCCUGCUCCUGUUGGAUUGUAGGGCAGGUGAAAGCGCCAUUCGAUGUUAUUGUCUUCAGCCCACUUCUGCACAGUCGCACCUGUGAAAUGUGUACCUUGAUCACUCUCAAUGACCUCAGGAGUCCCGUAUGAUGCCAUCAAUCUAGUUAGAGCUUUGAUGGUAGAGGCUUGGUUUGCCUUUGCUACAGGAUAGGCUUGCAUCAGUCCACUCGCUGUAUCGACACAAGUUAGGGCAUAUCUGGCCCCCUCAGAUCGAGGAAGGGGACCUAUAUAAUCAAUCUGCCAUCGCUGUAAUGGGUUGUGUCCUCUAGCGAGAUGGCCGUAGUUUCCGGCAGAGGUCUUGGUCUCAUUCGCGAGCAAGCGUCACAGUCCUGACAUGCCUGGACAAUAUCUGGUAACUGUAUGGGCAACCCCCAUGCUUUAGCUGCUGCCCACAUGGUUUUCUGUCCUGCAUGCCGUAAUUUCCGAUGCAGCCAGUGAGCUAUGUCUUCUGAUGGUGUACUUCCCAACCAUCGGACUCGAGCCAGUGUGUCAGCUUCAUCAUUGCCUGGUGACUGCAAGGCUUGAUGUCCAGAGACGCGGUAUGCUCGUACGGUCCUGUGCCUAACCACGUUCCAUAUAUCAACCCACAUAUCUUUGCCCCAGAUAGGUCGGGCAUGGAUUGUCCAAUCCUGAGUGGCCCACUGUGCUAUCCAGAGCGUGAGCCCUCGGUAGACUGCCCAACUAUCUGUGCAGAUGUUUAGUGCACUGUUGCCAGGCUCUUGAGUUAUCACCAUCCACGCAGCUGGUAGCUCAGCCCACUGGCUACUUUGUCCAUCCCCUUCUUCAAACCAUAUUGUUUCAGUUGAGGGAUGGUAUGCGACAGCUCGCCACCUACUUGGGUUCCCUCUGCUGGAUCCAUCUGUAUACCAGGCAUCUUCUGGGGUAGGGUAUUUCCCCUCCUGUACAGGACUCUUUUCUGGACAAGUAACCACUAUUUCCUCAGGUGUCUCGCUGUGAUAUGUUACUGGCCCAAGUAUCUUUUGAAGUUCUUCCUUCAGUGGAGAUGAUGACAGGCGGCUUCUUUGGCUAAGAUAGGCAGCCCAGUGUGCUACUGUUUGUGAUUGGGCCACCCCGGUCUUAGGAACGUGAGUUAGGUCUUUUACCCACCCCUGAAUUGGUAAAGUUGUUUUGACAACAACCUCUGCGGUCUGAGUUAUUGGUUCUACUGCCUGCAAUGCCGAAUAGGUAGCCAAUAACUGCUUUUCAACCAUGCUGUAUCUCUCUUCUGCUCCAUGCCAAAUCUGUGACCAGAACCCAAUUGGGAUUCGAACAGAACUCUGGCGCUGCCACAGCCCCCAGCCAAACCCUUCUUGGGUUACAUGCACAUCCAGUUCGGCUGGAAGGGUCGGAUCAAAUAUACCUAGCGCCUGGGCCUGUUUAACAGCUAUUUUUGCUUGCUGGAAGGCUUCUUGUUCUGUUCUACCCCAAUCCCAUACUUGGCCAUUUUUUGUUAAUCGAUAUAAAGGUUUUAGCAGUUGUGCUAAGUGGGGAAUAAAGGAUCGCCAAUAUCCUAAUAUAUCCCAGAACUCCUGCAACUGCUUCAGUUUCGUAGGAACCGGGAACGCUUGGAUCUUAUCAGUGAUUGCACCGGGUAACACCUUAGACUUACCUGACCAGACAACACCCAGGAAUUUAAC
rnacentral:lncRNA from 1 species